rnacentral:rRNA from 1 species
CCCUUAGAUGUUCUGGGCUGCACGCGCGCUACAUUGUUGCUUCCAACGGGUUGUCGGUUUUGAGAAUUUAUCGUAAAUUCUAGAAACAAGCAGCGUAACUGGGAUAGACUAUUGUAAUUAUUACUCUUCAACGAGGAAUUCCUAGUAGGAGCGGUUCAACAGACCGUUCUGAUUACGUCCCUGCCCUUUGUACACACCGCCCGUCGCUCCUACCGAGUGGGUGGUCCGGUGAAUUAUUUGGACUCCGGUUAUUCCAGCAUUUGGUUUUGCUGGGGAAAGUUUCGUGAACCUUAUCACUUGGAGGAAGGAGAANUCGUAACA